rnacentral:ncRNA from 2 species
GAAAUUAAUGGAAGCGUGGAAGCAUACUUUUUAUUUGGGCAUCUAUAAGUAUGUGGAGCUAGUGAUGCAACCGGCCGGCAUAAGA